CCUACGGGAGACAGCAGUGGGGAAUAUUGCACAAUGGGGGAAACCCUGAUGCAGCGACGCCGCGUGAGUGAAGAAGUAAUUCGUUAUGUAAAGCUCUAUCAGCAGGGAAGAAAAUGACGGUACCUGAGUAAGAAGCCCCGGCUAACUACGUGCCAGCAGCCGCGGUAAUACGUAGGGGGCAAGCGUUAUCCGGAUUUACUGGUUGUAAAGGGAGCGUAGACGGCAGUGCAAGUCUGGAGUGAAAGGCGGGGGCUCAACCCCCGGACUGCUCUGGAAACUGUACGGCGGGAGUGCAGGAGAGGUAAGUGGAAUUCCUAGUGGAGCGGUGGAAUGCGUAGAUAUUAGGAGGAACACCAGUGGCGAAGGCGGCUUACUGGACUGUAACUGACGUUGAGGCUCGAAAGCGUGGGGAGCAAACAGGAUUAGAUACCCUUGUAGUC
rnacentral:rRNA from 1 species